AUGGGGUCUAAAUACCAGAAGGCAACCAAUCCCAUGUGAUCUUGGAAACUAAGCAGGGGCAUCCCUGGUUAUUACUUGGAUAGGAGACCACCAAAGAAAGCCAGGUGAUAUUUAUU
rnacentral:rRNA from 1 species